UACGAAGGGGGCUAGCGUUGUUCGGAAUUACUGGGCGUAAAGCGUGCGCAGGCGGCUUCUCAAGUCAGGGGUGAAAGCCCAGAGCUCAACUCUGGAAUUGCCUUUGAGACUGAGUGGCUUGAGUACGAGAGAGGUGAGUGGAAUUCCCAGUGUAGAGGUGAAAUUCGUAGAUAUUGGGAAGAACACCCGUGGCGAAGGCGGCUCACUGGACUGGUAUUGACGCUGAGGUGCGAAAGCUAGGGGAGCAAACAGG
rnacentral:rRNA from 1 species